GCCCUGGUGGUACAAAUGGUUGACGUGCUUGGCUACUAACCAAAAGGUUGGUGGUUCGAGUCCACCCAGGGGUG
rnacentral:tRNA from 1 species